rnacentral:rRNA from 1 species
UACGGAGGGUGCAAGCGUUGUCCGGAAUUACUGGGCGUAAAGCGUGCGCAGGCGGUUAUGUAAGACAGUUGUGAAAUCCCCGGGCUCAACCUGGGAACUGCAUCUGUGACUGCAUCGCUGGAGUGCGGCAGAGGGGGAUGGAAUUCCGCGUGUAGCAGUGAAAUGCGUAGAUAUGCGGAGGAACACCGAUGGCGAAGGCAAUCCCCUGGGCCUGCACUGACGCUCAUGCACGAAAGCGUGGGGAGCAAACAGG